UACGAAGGGGGCUAGCGCUGCUCGGAAUCACUGGGCGUAAAGCGCACGUAGGCGGCUUUCUAAGUCAGGGGUGAAAUCCCGGAGCUCAACUCCGGAACUGCCUUUGAUACUGGAAAGCUUGAGUCCGGGAGAGGUGAGUGGAACUGCGAGUGUAGAGGUGAAAUUCGUAGAUAUUCGCAAGAACACCAGUGGCGAAGGCGGCUCACUGGCCCGGUACUGACGCUGAGGUGCGAAAGCGUGGGGAGCAAACAGG
rnacentral:rRNA from 1 species